CUUGCCCAAGAUUAGAAUCCAGGCCUUUCUGCCUCCCAGGCCUUGCUCUAUCCACUAGACCACACUGCUCUCAUUUUACAGAGAAGGAAACUGAGGCCCAGAGACGUUGACUCACCGAAGGUUACACAGCAGGCAAAUGGCUUUGAGCCCCAACAGUACCACCAGACACUAUCGGGCAGGGGCAGAAGUCCAGCUUGCCCCACUGCGAUGGCCACCGGCCCCCUCCCCACAGGCCCGGCCCCGAACCCAUCUCGUUCCAGUUUGGGAAGAGGAAAGGAAGGGAACGGGAAGUAUCUGGUCGCUGGGGACAGGAAGCUCAUAUUUCCCAAGGACAAGAAGUUAGUCCCUGGGGACAGGAAGUUCAUAUUCUCCACGAACAAGAAGUAAUGUUUCUGUCUCCCCCGAUCAGACUGUAAGCCCGUCAAAGGGCAGGCGCUGUCUCUAUCUGUUGCCGAUUCGUACAUUCCAAGCGCUUAGUACAGUGCUCUGCACAUAGUAAGCGCUCAAUAAAUACUAUUGAAUGAAUGAAUGAAUCUCAAGACAGGAAGUGGGUUUUCCCUGAGGACAGGAAGAGUGAUA
rnacentral:lncRNA from 1 species